rnacentral:rRNA from 1 species
GACGACGCUGGCGGCGUGCCUAAUACAUGCAAGUCGAACGAGUGGCGGACGGGUGAGUAAUGUCUGGGAAACUGCCUGAUGGAGGGGGAUAACUACUGGAAACGGUAGCUAAUACCGCAUACCAUCGGAUGUGCCCAGAUGGGAUUAGCUAGUAGGUGGGGUAAAGGCUCACCUAGGCGACGAUCCCUAGCUGGUCUGAGAGGAUGACCAGCCACACUGGAACUGAGACACGGUCCAGACUCCUACGGGAGGCAGCAGUGGGGAAUAUUGCACAAUGGGCGCAAGCCUGAUGCAGCCAUGCCGCGUGUAUGAAGAAGGCCUUCGGGUUGUAAAGUACUUUCAGCGGGGAGGCGUUACCCGCAGAAGAAGCACCGGCUAACUCCGUGCCAGCAGCCGCGGUAAUAC